rnacentral:rRNA from 1 species
UACGUAGCAGCAAGCGUUGUUCGGAAUUAUUGGGCGUAAAGGGCGCGUAGACGGCAUGGCAAGUGGAAGGUGAAAUCCCUCGGCUUAACCGAGGAACUGCCCUCCAAAACUGCUUUGCUUGAGGCCGGGAGAGGUGAGUGGAAUUCCCAGUGUAGCGGUGAAAUGCGUAGAUAUUGGGAGGAACACCAGUGGCGAAGGCGGCUCACUGGACCGGUUCUGACGCUGAGGCGCGAAAGCGUGGGGAGCAAACGGG